AAAUUGAAGAGUUUGAUCAUGGCUCAGAUUGAACGCUGGCGGCAGGCCUAACACAUGCAAGUCGAACGGUAACAGGAAGCAGCUUGCUGCUUUGCUGACGAGUGGCGGACGGGUGAGUAAUGUCUGGGAAACUGCCUGAUGGAGGGGGAUAACUACUGGAAACGGUGGCUAAUACCGCAUAACGUCGCAAGACCAAAGAGGGGGACCUUCGGGCCUCUUGCCAUCAGAUGUGCCCAGAUGGGAUUAGCUAGUUGGUGAGGUAACGGCUCACCAAGGCGACGAUCCCUAGCUGGUCUGAGAGGAUGACCAGCCACACUGGAACUGAGACACGGUCCAGACUCCUACGGGAGGCAGCAGUGGGGAAUAUUGCACAAUGGGCGCAAGCCUGAUGCAGCCAUGCCGCGUGUAUGAAGAAGGCCUUCGGGUUGUAAAGUACUUUCAGCGGGGAGGAAGGUGUUGUGGUUAAUAACCGCAGCAAUUGACGUUACCCGCAGAAGAAGCACCGGCUAACUCCGUGCCAGCAGCCGCGGUAAUACGGAGGGUGCAAGCGUUAAUCGGAAUUACUGGGCGUAAAGCGCACGCAGGCGGUCUGUCAAGUCGGAUGUGAAAUCCCCGGGCUCAACCUGGGAACUGCAUUCGAAACUGGCAGGCUUGAGUCUUGUAGAGGGGGUAGAAUUCCAGGUGUAGCGGUGAAAUGCGUAGAGAUCUGGAGGAAUACCGGUGGCGAAGGCGGCCCCCUGGACAAAGACUGACGCUCAGGUGCGAAAGCGUGGGGAGCAAACAGGAUUAGAUACCCUGGUAGUCCACGCCGUAAACGAUGUCUACUUGGAGGUUGUGCCCUUGAGGCGUGGCUUCCGGAGCUAACGCGUUAAGUAGACCGCCUGGGGAGUACGGCCGCAAGGUUAAAACUCAAAUGAAUUGACGGGGGCCCGCACAAGCGGUGGAGCAUGUGGUUUAAUUCGAUGCAACGCGAAGAACCUUACCUGGUCUUGACAUCCACAGAAGAAUCCAGAGAUGGAUUUGUGCCUUCGGGAACUGUGAGACAGGUGCUGCAUGGCUGUCGUCAGCUCGUGUUGUGAAAUGUUGGGUUAAGUCCCGCAACGAGCGCAACCCUUAUCCUUUGUUGCCAGCGGUUAGGCCGGGAACUCAAAGGAGACUGCCAGUGAUAAACUGGAGGAAGGUGGGGAUGACGUCAAGUCAUCAUGGCCCUUACGACCAGGGCUACACACGUGCUACAAUGGCGCAUACAAAGAGAAGCGACCUCGCGAGAGCAAGCGGACCUCAUAAAGUGCGUCGUAGUCCGGAUUGGAGUCUGCAACUCGACUCCAUGAAGUCGGAAUCGCUAGUAAUCGUGGAUCAGAAUGCCACGGUGAAUACGUUCCCGGGCCUUGUACACACCGCCCGUCACACCAUGGGAGUGGGUUGCAAAAGAAGUAGGUAGCUUAACCUUCGGGAGGGCGCUUACCACUUUGUGAUUCAUGACUGGGGUGAAGUCGUAACAAGGUAACCGUAGGGGAACCUGCGGUUGGAUCACCUCCUUA
rnacentral:rRNA from 1 species